rnacentral:lncRNA from 1 species
AAAUGUUCGUUAACUCUCAUAAUGAAACCCAAGAGUAGAAAUGUUGUGACCUCUGCUACCUCCAGGAUCAUAUAUGUGGCUGUCUAUACACUAAUUCUACAAUGAUUCGAGUAUUGUAAAUUUAUCCUUUUAUCAAAACAACUAAGAUUCUGUGAAAAUGACAGGUCUAAAGAAGAGGGAUGGGGGCAAUUUAGAUCAUCUCUAAAACAGAAAAGACAAACCUUAAAUAGAAAUGGUGCUCAGGGCCAGCGUGUACUUCUGUCAUCUGUGCUUGAGAGGAUGAGUUUGUUUUCUUGCUUACUACUACUAACCAUGAUUUUUUUGAAUCCGUAUACAUAGAAACCAGCAAGCAGAAUCAUGUAUG